AAAUUGAAGAGUUUGAUCAUGGCUCAGAUUGAACGCUGGCGGCAGGCCUAACACAUGCAAGUCGAACGGUAACAGGAAGCAGCUUGCUGCUUUGCUGACGAGUGGCGGACGGGUGAGUAAUGUCUGGGAAACUGCCUGAUGGAGGGGGAUAACUACUGGAAACGGUGGCUAAUACCGCAUAACGUCGCAAGACCAAAGAGGGGGACCUUCGGGCCUCUUGCCAUCAGAUGUGCCCAGAUGGGAUUAGCUUGUUGGUGAGGUAACGGCUCACCAAGGCGACGAUCCCUAGCUGGUCUGAGAGGAUGACCAGCCACACUGGAACUGAGACACGGUCCAGACUCCUACGGGAGGCAGCAGUGGGGAAUAUUGCACAAUGGGCGCAAGCCUGAUGCAGCCAUGCCGCGUGUAUGAAGAAGGCCUUCGGGUUGUAAAGUACUUUCAGCGGGGAGGAAGGUGUUGUGGUUAAUAACCGCAGCAAUUGACGUUACCCGCAGAAGAAGCACCGGCUAACUCCGUGCCAGCAGCCGCGGUAAUACGGAGGGUGCAAGCGUUAAUCGGAAUUACUGGGCGUAAAGCGCACGCAGGCGGUCUGUCAAGUCGGAUGUGAAAUCCCCGGGCUCAACCUGGGAACUGCAUUCGAAACUGGCAGGCUUGAGUCUUGUAGAGGGGGGUAGAAUUCCAGGUGUAGCGGUGAAAUGCGUAGAGAUCUGGAGGAAUACCGGUGGCGAAGGCGGCCCCCUGGACAAAGACUGACGCUCAGGUGCGAAAGCGUGGGGAGCAAACAGGAUUAGAUACCCUGGUAGUCCACGCCGUAAACGAUGUCUACUUGGAGGUUGUGCCCUUGAGGCGUGGCUUCCGGAGCUAACGCGUUAAGUAGACCGCCUGGGGAGUACGGCCGCAAGGUUAAAACUCAAAUGAAUUGACGGGGGCCCGCACAAGCGGUGGAGCAUGUGGUUUAAUUCGAUGCAACGCGAAGAACCUUACCUGGUCUUGACAUCCACAGAACAUUCCAGAGAUGGAUUGGUGCCUUCGGGAACUGUGAGACAGGUGCUGCAUGGCUGUCGUCAGCUCGUGUUGUGAAAU
rnacentral:rRNA from 1 species